UCCUUCUACAUGCAAUAAAGAUCUCGUCUGAAGAAGAAGAAUUCAGAUUUAACUUCAUUUCUCUCUUCUCUACGAUAAGCUCUUUUCUGUUCUCUCUCUCUCAAUGUUCUUGAGUUCUUUCACUGAUUUACACAUAAUCAGCUUCUAAUUUCUUAAUUGUUGCAGAUUGUGAAGUUAAUUUGAUGAAGAAUCAAAUAUUGAACCAAUAUGAAGAAGGAAUGAAAAGAGAAGGAAACACAUAAGGAUUUUGAAUGGUUAAGCUUAUACAUUGCCUACAUCCAUGAUGGGAGAGAAAAGAUUUUAUUUAGAAUUAUCAAAGUGUUUUUACAGCUUGAAUCUCAUAUAAGUAUUAUAUCUCUUGCAUGUCUAAUUUAUCUCCUAUUUAUAAGCAUGUAUUAGUUUGUUAAGAAUUCUACCCUAAUUGAUUUUCACUUUCAUAUUUAAAAUAACAUUUCGGUUAUUUUCUAUAAACUUCUCCUUUGAAAUGAAAAUUAGUUAAAUCUAACUCUCUUUCCUGUCUUGUUUUAGUUCUUCUUUGUGAAGCCAAUAAGCUCGAGGCAGUGUAUGAACUUCAGUCGAGCUACUAGUUUGGUUAGCAUAUCGGUAGCAUUCUCUGAGGCUUUAUCGCAGCAGAGGUGGAUCUCCCAGGAACGAUAUUUACCUUUUCCCUCUGGUUCUGCUUUCGAGCUUCCUCCUCAAUUCUUAGUUGGGUGACAAGACUCUCCAAGGAAAACUUCUUGAUCUUAUGUCUCAAGGUGGUCUUAUUCUUCCAUAAGGGGGGCAAUUUGUCAAUAAUAACGAUAACUUGGAAUUGUUCGUCUAAGAGCAUACUUUCAGUUAUUAUUUCAUGGGCUAUCUUCUGCAGUUCAUAGGAUUGGGUCUCCACAGAUUUUUCAUCCGUAUCUAAAACUUGAGUGGGAUCUUCUUGGAUGGCUUAUCCAUGGUAUAAAUGUCAGCAACUUUCUUGACCAUAAGGAAAAACAACAUCUUCUACUUCCAUCGUUUGAACUUCGCUCAUUCGAACCGGAAUGGACGGUUGAGGUUGAAUGUCAUAAUGUUUUAUGACUUGUAAGGGCUAUCGCAGCGGUGACAGAAGAAAAUUGUCUUAAACUUGUUGUUUUUGGCUACCCUCCAAUAGUUAAAUUUGACAGCAGCGAGUAGUCAUGAACAACAGUCGUCAGAAAUAUGGGACCUGCAAAACAGAAACUUGUUACAGGUUCAGUCGUGGAUAUCGUUCUCUUUAAAACAUUUCGCGACUCUGCCCAAGUGUGCAAGCAGUUCUUCAGAAGUACCACGUCGUCCCCAAGAUAAAACAACCCAGAAAACUAUCUCCAUCGAAAAUGUGCAGUACAUAAUCGAAAAACUCCCACCCUUUAAUGCUUGGCAAACUGAAAAACGUAAAUGAGGGUAAUAGAAGAAAUUGAGAGAGAACGUGUUGAAAUUGUUGAAGGCUUGCACCUUUUAUAGGCCUCGAAGGCCAACUGUAGUGCGAAAUUGCAGGGGAAGCAGGUGGAAAGACUGAAACGAGCAACGCACGGGCAAAAAACUGACCGGCUCGCGACACGUGUUGGAGGAGUUGAAUGAAGACAUUAAAACAACAACAAUAAUAAUAAUAAUAAAGAAAAUAAAGAAAAAUAUUUUUAAUAAAUAAAAACAAUAAUAAUCUCACACGCGAGUGCCUCGCCUGACCGGACGGACAGUGGCGACGACGGCGUGUCACGGUUAUGCUUGUCUAGGGCGUGUUGCCCAUGGCCAUAUGACCACCUCCACCUCUUUUUACUAUGCUUUCAUCCUAUAUAUUUCCUUUUGCUAGGUAGUUAGGUUUAUAUGUACUUUUCUUAGUGAGUGAUCGCUCGCCCAUUUCCAUAUACAAGGGUAAUGGAUGUGUUUUUGUUCAGAAUGCAUUAUAUGGGGAUAAGACUAACCAUCACUUCCCCAUACUCGGAGUAUUAUGUUAUAAAGCUGUUAUUGUUGCUUAUUAUUUUCUAGCUUACUACAAUCUUUCUCUUCUCCAUUCUUACAAUCAAACUGUCUGCGAAAACCUUUUCUCCAAACCCGUUUUAUAAAACCGUUUUCUCCAAAACGGGGGUGGAGGUUGCAAGAGGCACCCGAUGUGCCAUUGGCUGUUCGUAUUUAAAUUGGCUGACUGGUUUGUGAGUGAGAACAAGUGCCGCACAAUCGCUAACUGAAGCUUCAAAAAGUGCGAUUGUGACAGUUGGUAUCAAAGCCAAGUCAGCUCGUAGAGUUGAAAAGUUGUGAUCAUUUCUGCUACAAAGUAGUUGAGCAUGUCCCAUGUUGACCGAUUGGUCGAGAUUGAACAACAAAUGCUCUAUUUAAUAGAAAUAUCUGAUCAGGUUCAGUUUCUAGAGACUCGGUUACAGGAAGUCGUUGACAAGGUCGAUGAAAUCGAUGCGGUGGCUGGCCGUUUAGACAGGAUGCCCGUCAAGGAAUUAUCGACAAAAGUUAGAACCUUAAUGGCAAAAACUACGAUGGAUAGGCCACUUGAGCAUGGGGAUGGUCGUCGGGCUCUAUUGCCGAUAGAAGAGCAUGUCAAAGAACUAGACAACUUGAAAAAGAGCAAUCAUUCAUAUGGUGACCGAGAUGUCCGAGGACUUUCGAGCCACCAUCGAGGUCGUCCACGCAGAGAAUACUGACAUUAGUGCAAAAAUUAACCUCACCAUGAGAGCGGUGGGAAAUCAAGCCCUAGUCGGAGGUGCAGCCCAAUUCAACAAGGUAAGAGUACCCGAGCCUAAGCCCUUCUGUGGGGCUCGCGAUGCAAAGACACUAGAAAAUUUUAUCUUUGACAUGAGUACUUCAAGACAACGACUGAAGAGUCGAAGAUCACCCUAAUGACGAUGCACCUAGCAGAGGAUGCCAAGUUAUGGUGGAGGUGCCGUUUUAGGGAUGUCCAAGAGGGACAGUGUACCAUCGACACGUGGGAGAGAUUGAAACAAGAGUUGCGUUCUCAAUUCUUCCCCGAAAAUAUUGAGAUUUUGGCAAGACGCAAGCCACGGGAAUUGAAACAUACUAAUACUAUUAGAGACUACGUGAAACAAUUUGCCAGAUUGAUGUUGGACAUAAGAGACAUGUCCGAAAAAGACAAAGUUUUCUGUUUUAUCAAAGACCUGAAACCGUGGGCGAAAACAAAACUGUAUGAGUAGAGAAUAUAGGAUCUCCCAGCCGUAUACGUAGCAGCCGAACGGUUAUUUGACUUGAUUGAUGAAUCUCAGGAGAUAAGGCAACACUCGAGAUCCCCUAAUAGGGGGAGAAAGAGCAACGGUUCGAGCCCAUCAAGAAAUAGUGGAGGAGAUAAAGACAACAAUGGGGAUAGUAUACCUCUUUACCAGACGACUAGGAAUAUGUGACAAGGGCAGAAUCAGAAGAAUUUUCAUCAGCCUUUAUCCUGUUAUAUAUGUAAGAGUCUACACAAGGUGAGCGAAUGUCCGAAACAAGCUGCCUUUAGUACUUUCCAAGCCUCAUUAGCUACAGACUUAAAAGGCAAAGCUGUUUAGGUAGAAGACGAGAAUGUGUAAGCAGAGAAAGAUAGAACCCCAAGGGUUGGGACCCUGAGAUAUUUAGCUGCCCUCCAAAAAGAUAUAGGAGAAGGAAAAUGAUCUCACGGAGGCGAACUGAUGUAUAUUGAUGCUUGGGUCAACCAUAGAUUGACCAAAAGUACCAUAGUUGAUUCGGAGGCCACCUAUAAUUUUAUGUCCGAAACAGAAGCCAGACGGCUGAAUUUCCAUUGGGAAGGAUGCGCAGGUAAAAUGAAAAUAGCGAACUUUGAAGCCUUGCCAAUUACAGGAAUAGCAAAGAGAACAGUCGUAAAGUUAGGGGAUUAGAGUGACCCUGCCGAUUUCGUGAUCGUUAAGAUGGAUGACUUUGAUGUGAUGUUGGGAAUGAAGUUCUUGCUUGAGCACAAGGUAAUACCGAUACCCCUCACCAAGUGUUUAGUGAUCACCGGGUCUACGCCCAUCGCUGUGCAUGUUGAGAUCAGAUGAUCGAAGGGGAUAAGUUUUGGGGUUGAUGCCCUAAAGUCUCGUGUUCUGUAGUUUGUAAACAGUAUGUACGAACGCUUGUGUUGUUAGUAUAUGAUAUUUACUU